ACGAACGCUGGCGGCGUGCUUAACACAUGCAAGUCGAACGGAAAGGCCCUGCUUUUUUGGGGUGCUCGAGUGGCGAACGGGUGAGUAACACGUGAGUAACCUGCCCUUGACUUUGGGAUAACUUCAGGAAACUUGGGCUAAUACCGGAUAGGAGCUCCUUCUGCAUGGUGGGGGUUGGAAAGUUUCGGCGGGUGGGGAUGGACUCGCGGCUUAUCAGCUUGUUGGUGGGGGAGUGGCUUACCAAGGCUUUGACGGGUAGCCGGCCUGAGAGGGUGACCGGCCACAUUGGGACUGAGAUACGGCCCAGACUCCUACGGGAGGCAGCAGUGGGGAAUAUUGCACAAUGGGCGGAAGCCUGAUGCAGCAACGCCGCGUGCGGGAUGACGGCCUUCGGGUUGUAAACCGCUUUCGCCUGUGACGAAGCGUGAGUGACGGUAAUGGGUAAAGAAGCACCGGCUAACUACGUG
rnacentral:rRNA from 1 species